rnacentral:tRNA from 1 species
GCCUCCAUAGCUCAGUGGUAGAGCAGUUGCCUUUUAAGCAAUUGAGCUUGGUUCGAUUCCAAGUGGAGGCA